GUCCCCGCAGCGCGAGGUCAGGGGCCUUGCCGCCCUCCACGCCCUUCCCAGGAGUCGCCACCCGCCCGCGGCGCAAGGGUCCGACUGGCCGCGAGCAACCCGCGGGCCUGCGGGGACAGUCGCCGGAUGAACUCUGCUCGCCGGGUUUUCCGCCCUCCGGGAGGCCGCGAUUAGAGAUCGGGGAGGUCGGGCGGCCGGGAAGGGCAGGACCGCGCGCCGAGCCGGCGGGGCGGCGGGGAGAGGCGAGCGGCAAGCCCGGGGCCGAGCCGCGCUUCUUCGCACCAGCUGCCUGGCCAGUCGGGGAGAGGGCGGCCGCCGACGGUCGUCGUGCAAAGCGCCAGCCCGGGCUUGGGGGUGGGGGAACAUCCUUUUUGUUUUGUUUUGUUAACGAAAAUCAUUUUUAAUAUAGGUAUCUAAAUAAAUAUAAUCCGUGUCACAGUGGCCGCUUUCCUGGCCUUCCCAUUCCGGCCCGCCUGCGGCAGAGAAUGUCUUUUCUUCCCAGGACUGCAUAGCGGGGCUUCCCUCAAAGAGCCAGAAUCAAAGGGCAGGAAGGGGCGCAAAGAUCAGAGUUCAGCCCUCUUCAGAGGAGUAAACGGAGCCUUGGAAAGCACUUUCAAGUCCUUUCUCUUCUCUCCUGGAGAAAUUUGGUUUGUUGUCUGAAGUUGGAGAACGGGGUCAUGUAUCCACAUGUCCUUGAGAAGUAAACCAAGGCACACUCAUAUGAGGCACCUGCAGAAGGAGGGAACAGAGGAAUCAAACUCCUCCACCUUAUGGCAAUCGCUUACUGGAGAUGAACUUUGUGGAUAGGUCCUCAAGCAAGGCACAAAAGAUAAUGAUAUUUGCCACAGAAUAUCUCAGCAACAAGGACUUCCAAGUGCUUUACAUUAAUUUUUACUUGCCAUAAGGGGAGUGCUGUGCUGCCCCCAACUUCCAGGUAGCUUAAAGGAGAUUCAGUUGGUUAAAAAAAAAUUACUUCCGGUCCACACUGUCUGAGAAAUGUUUGUGGGAAUAGUAGCUAAGUCAUGCAUAUCUCGAAAUGUAAUGUGGAGACUCUGUUUUCCAUUGUCACCAAAGAGUCCUCAGAAGCCAAAACUGAGAGAAUGGUGGCAAAAAGAACAGGUGGGAGACUAUAGUGAAGCUUGUGGAAAAGAAAAUUUGGAAAGAAAACAAGCAAGAUCCAUAACACCAAAACUAGUAAUGUGUUUGCGCUUUGGCAGGGGAAUCCUAAGUCCUUAUUAAUGGGAAAAGUCAAGAUAUAUUUGUUGGGGCUUAUAAAAUGGAAAGGAAUUGAAAAUGAAAAUGGAAUAAAAAAAUCCUCAAAAUACGCACAAAAUGCAAAAUGACAGUAAUCUCCUGGCCUUGACAGUCUAGAUUACAAAGCACCUCUUAAAUCACAAGACCCAACUGGCUAUUCUUCCUUCUGAGGAAUUACUUGACUGGCUGAAAAUUAAGAUUACUUUCAAAAGUCAUAUGCAUUUUUUCCAGAACUCAGACAACACAACCUUCCCGUCAAUGUAAUCAUAACUAAGGAAGCCAUGCAAGUUUUAAAUCAGUUUACAAAAAAAAAGAUGUCCUAAAAACCAUUUUCUAGUCCAUUCUCCAAGUUUUUAAGUUAAAUAGGUUAACUAACUUUUAAAAAAUUCCAGCCAGAACAAAAUGUGCAUUUUAAUUUAAAAUUAAUAAGUAUUUAUGGUUGCAAAAUAAAAGAGGUUUAUUAUUUUAUUUUUAAGUUGCUUUUUCACUUACCUGUCAGGCAUCCUAAGUUUCCUCUGCUGUAUCUGAUGUGCUCACCAGGACAAAUAAAUGCGGAUUAAGCAAUGGUCACCACUACACUGCUCUAAAGAAAAAUAAUCGGGUUAUCAUCAGCUAUUACAGGAAGAGCUCAGAUCCAGGACAGAGCUUCUGUCGGGUUUGAAAGUUUUUAGCCUAACAUAGGAGUGAUGAAGCCACGUUGCCAUUCAAAAGCCUUUCUCAAUGCUGCAGGCAUAUCUCAAGAACUGUUUGACAAUUCUCCAACCUGUAAUUGACUGGAUCCUUGAGAAAUUUACCUUCAGACAUCUAAUUUAAGUUAUGGACAUCUAAUUAAAAAAUAAGUAUCCUCUA